rnacentral:rRNA from 1 species
UACGAAGGGGGCUAGCGUUGUUCGGAAUUACUGGGCGUAAAGGGCGCGUAGGCUGUGCUGUAAGUCAGGCGUGAAAGGCCCGGGCUCAACCUGGGAAUGGCGCUUGAUACUGCGGCGCUGGAAGGUGGGAGAGGAUGGCGGAAUUCCCAGUGUAGAGGUGAAAUUCGUAGAUAUUGGGAAGAACACCAGUGGCGAAGGCGAGUUUCUGGACAGUUACUGACGCUGAGGCACGAAGGCCAGGGGAGCAAACGGG